GGCCUCGUAGCUCAGCUGGUGGAGCAUGCGCGUAGAAAGCGCAGGCGGUGUCCAUGCGUGGGUUCGAAUCCCACCGAGGCUA
rfam:Echinostoma caproni strain Egypt genome assembly, scaffold: ECPE_scaffold0011310